rnacentral:rRNA from 1 species
CCUACGGGAGGCUGCAGUGGGGAAUAUUGGGCAAUGGGCGCAAGCCUGACCCAGCAACGCCGCGUGAAGGAAGAAGGCUUUCGGGUUGUAAACUUCUUUUAAGGGGGAAGAGCAGAAGACGGUACCCCUUGAAUAUGCUACGGCUAACUACGUGCCAGCAGCCGCGGUAAUACGGAGGUGGCAAGCGUUGUCCGGAUUUACUGGGUGUAAAGGGCGUGCAGCCGGAGAGACAAGUCAGAUGUGAAAUCCACGGGCUCAACCCGUGAACUGCAUUUGAAACUGUUUCCCUUGAGUGUCGGAGAGGUGAUCGGAAUUCCUUGUGUAGCGGUGAAAUGCGUAGAUAUAAGGAAGAACACCAGUGGCGAAGGCGGAUUACUGGACGAUAACUGACGGUGAGGCGCGAAAGCGUGGGGAGCAAACAGGAUUAGAUACCCGUGUAGUC